rnacentral:rRNA from 1 species
GACGAACGCUGGCGGCGUGCUUAACACAUGCAAGUCGAACGGAAAGGCCCUGCUUUUGUGGGGUGCUCGAGUGGCGAACGGGUGAGUAACACGUGAGUAACCUGCCCUUGACUUUGGGAUAACUUCAGGAAACUGGGGCUAAUACCGGAUAGGAGCUCCUGCUGCAUGGUGGGGGUUGGAAAGUUUCGGCGGUUGGGGAUGGACUCGCGGCUUAUCAGCUUGUUGGUGGGGUAGUGGCUUACCAAGGCUUUGACGGGUAGCCGGCCUGAGAGGGUGACCGGCCACAUUGGGACUGAGAUACGGCCCAGACUCCUACGGGAGGCAGCAGUGGGGAGUAUUGCACAAUGGGCGGAAGCCUGAUGCAGCAACGCCGCGUGCGGGAUGACGGCCUUCGGGCUGUAAACCGCUUUCGCCUGUGACGAAGCGUGAGUGACGGUAAUGGGUAAAGAAGCACCGGCUAACUACGUG